AGCGGCGGAUGGGUGAGUAACACGUGGGGAACCUGCCCCUAAGUCUGGGAUACCAUUUGGAAACAGGUGCUAAUACCGGAUAAUAAAGCAGAUCGCAUGAUCAGCUUUUGAAAGGCGGCGUAAGCUGUCGCUAAGGGAUGGCCCCGCGGUGCAUUAGCUAGUUGGUAAGGUAACGGCUUACCAAGGCGACGAUGCAUAGCCGAGUUGAGAGACUGAUCGGCCACAUUGGGACCGAGACACGGCCCAAACUCCUACGGGAGGCAGCAGUAGGGAAUCUUCCACAAUGGACGCAAGUCUGAUGGAGCAACGCCGCGUGAGUGAAGAAGGUUUUCGGAUCGUAAAGCUCUGUUGUUGGUGAAGAAGGAUAGAGGUAGUAACUGGCCUUUAUUUGACGGUAAUCAACCAGAAAGUCACGGCUAACUACGUGCCAGCAGCCGCGGUAAUACGUAGGUGGCAAGCGUUGUCCGGAUUUAUUGGGCGUAAAGCGAGCGCAGGCGGAAAAAUAAGUCUAAUGUGAAAGCCCUCGGCUUAACCGAGGAACUGCAUCGGAAACUGUUUUUCUUGAGUGCAGAAGAGGAGAGUGGAACUCCAUGUGUAGCGGUGGAAUGCGUAGAUAUAUGGAAGAACACCAGUGGCGAAAGGCGGCUCUCUGGUCUGCAACUGACGCUGAGGCUCGAAAGCAUGGGUAGCGAACAGGAUUAGAUACCCUGGUAGUCCAUGCCGUAAACGAUGAGUGCUAAGUGU
rnacentral:rRNA from 1 species